AUUGAACGCUGGCGGCAUGCCUUACACAUGCAAGUCGAAUGGCAGCGCGGGGCAACCUGGCGGCGAGUGGCGAACGGGUGAGUAAUAUAUCGGAACGUACCCUGGAGUGGGGGAUAACGUAGCGAAAGUUACGCUAAUACCGCAUACGAUCUAAGGAUGAAAGUGGGGGCAUCGCAAGACCUCAUGCUCCUGGAGCGGCCGAUAUCUGAUUAGCUAGUUGGUGGGGUAAAGGCCUACCAAGGCAUCGAUCAGUAGCUGGUCUGAGAGGACGACCAGCCACACUGGAAACCUGAGACACGGUCCAGACUCCUACGGGAGGCAGCAGUGGGGAAUUUUGGCACAAUGGGCGCUAGCCUGAUCCAGCAAUGCCGCGU
rnacentral:rRNA from 1 species